rnacentral:rRNA from 1 species
UGGGGGAUAUUGCACAAUGGGGGGAACCCUGAUGCAGCAACGCCGCGUGAGGGAAGAAGGUUUUCGGAUUGUAAACCUCUGUCUUUGGUGACGAUAAUGACGGUAGCCAAGGAGGAAGCUCCGGCUAACUACGUGCCAGCAGCCGCGGUAAUACGUAGGGAGCGAGCGUUGUCCGGAAUUACUGGGUGUAAAGGGUGCGUAGGCGGGGUUGCAAGUCAGGCGUGAAAUCCAUCGGCUUAACCGGUGAACUGCGCUUGAAACUGUAAUUCUUGAGUGAAGUAGAGGCAGGCGGAAUUCCGAGUGUAGCGGUGAAAUGCGUAGAUAUUCGGAGGAACACCAGUGGCGAAGGCGGCCUGCUGGGCUUUUACUGACGCUGAGGCACGAAAGCAUGGGGAGCAAACA